rnacentral:rRNA from 1 species
UACGAAGGGUGCAAGCGUUACUCGGAAUUACUGGGCGUAAAGGGUGCGUAGGCGGUUUGUCGCGUCUGCUGUGAAAACCUGAGGCUCAACCUCGGGCUUGCAGUGGGUACGGGCAGACUAGAGUGCGGUAGGGGUGACUGGAAUUCCGUGGUGAUAGCGGUGAAAUGCGCAGAUAUCAGGAGGAACACCGGUGGCGAAGGCGGGUCUCUGGGCCACUACUGACGCUGGAGAAGCGGAAAGCAUGGGGGAGCGAACAGG